rnacentral:rRNA from 1 species
GAGUUUGAUCGUGGCUCAGAUUGAACGCUGGCGGCAUGCCUUACACAUGCAAGUCGAACGGCAGCACGGGAGCUUGCUCCUGGUGGCGAGUGGCGAACGGGUGAGUAAUGCAUCGGAACGUAUCCUGGAGUGGGGGAUAACGUAGCGAAAGUUACGCUAAUACCGCAUACUCUGUGAGCAGGAAAGCGGGGGACCUUCGGGCCGUCGCGCUCUUGGAGCGGCCGAUGUCGGAUUAGCUAGUUGGUGAGGUAAAGGCUCACCAAGGCGACGAUCCGUAGCAGGUCUGAGAGGAUGAUCUGCCACACUGGAACUGAGACACGGUCCAGACUCCUACGGGAGGCAGCAGUGGGGAAUUUUGGACAAUGGGGGCAACCCUGAUCCAGCCAUGCCGCGUGAGUGAAGAAGGCCU